rnacentral:rRNA from 1 species
UACGUAGGUGACAAGCGUUAUCCGGAAUUACUGGGCGUAAAGCGCACGCAGGCGGCCGAGAAAGUCUGACGUGAAAUCUCCCGGCUUAACCGGGAGCGGUCGUUGGAAACUACUUGGCUUGAGGCGAUGAGAGGGGUGUGGAAUUCCCGGUGUAGUGGUGGAAUGCGUAGAUAUCGGGAGGAACAUCAGUGGCGAAAGCGGCACCCUGGCAUUAGCCUGACGCUCAGGUGCGAAAGCGUGGGGAGCGAACGGGAUUAGAAACCCCAGUAGUCC